AGUGAACGCUGGCGGUAGGCCUAACACAUGCAAGUCGAACGGCAGCACAGUAAGAGCUUGCUCUUACGGGUGGCGAGUGGCGGACGGGUGAGGAAUACAUCGGAAUCUACUUUUUCGUGGGGGAUAACGUAGGGAAACUUACGCUAAUACCGCAUACGACCUACGGGUGAAAGCAGGGGAUCUUCGGACCUUGCGCGAUUGAAUGAGCCGAUGUCGGAUUAGCUAGUUGGCGGGGUAAAGGCCCACCAAGGCGACGAUCCGUAGCUGGUCUGAGAGGAUGAUCAGCCACGCUGGAACUGAGACACGGUCCAGACUCCUACGGGAGGCAGCAGUGGGGAAUAUUGGACAAUGGGCGCAAGCCUGGUCCAGCCAUACCGCGUGGGUGAAGAAGGCCUUCGGGUUGUAAAGCCCUUUUGUUGGGAAAGAAAAGCAGCAGGUUAAUACCCCGCUGUUCUGACGGUACCCAAAGAAUAAGCACCGGCUAACUUCGUG
rnacentral:rRNA from 1 species